AGCAAACACAAGUGGAGAACUGGACCUGGUAAAAUUGGAUUUGCAACGUAAAGUCAGAAAUGAGGCUUGUUAUUCAACAUUUGGGUUGUUAACACAUCUACUGCCUCCUGUUGGAGCAAGUCAUCCCAGCGAGAAGCCUUGAAUCUCCUGUUUACCUUUCAGUGGCCUUUUCUUCACAAUCCUCUCAAGGCUGGGGUUAAUCCUUUUGUACCACACUUCUUCCUUCCCCUCAACUUUUCAUGAAUAUGGUUGGAUACAGCCCUCUGUGAACUGCCACCUUCAACAUUUCAGAAAUACACACUUUCUGCCUCUCAUAAAUUGUUGUGGUUUGUUUGGACCAAUGUGCAGACUGAUGCUCAUGAGUCGCAUGUGGUUCAUGUGGGAGCUGGUGCCUAUCUCCAGCAGUCCACGGGCGAGAGGCAGGGUACACCCUGGACAGGUCGCCAGUCCAUCGCAGCUAAAUCUAACAACAAAUAGCAGUCAGUAAAAAUAUAUGCAGUGAAGAGCAAAAAGGGUAAAGUGUUUAGUGCAGGUGAGCAUGUAGUGAGAGAGUCUACAGAGUGUGGUUUGAGUUCAGCAGUUUGACAUCUUCAGGGAAGAUGCUGUUUCUGGGCCUGGUGGUCUUGCUCUGAAUGCUCCUCACCUGUCUGCCUGAGGGGAGGGGCUGAAACAGUCUGUGUGACAGAUGGGUGGAGUCCUUUGGAGGGUCUCCCCCUGCAUCGUAAUGUGUAGAGGUCCACGGUGGUGGGAAGACUGCUCCCCACAAGAGUGACAUGUGUAUUGCUUCAUAUUCUCAACUAUAAUUAUGUAUAAAUUGUUUGAGCAAAUACGGAUAUAUUUUUAAACUUUUUCAUUGCUUCAGUGGAAAGUCAGUCAGUGUGUAAAGCUGCUCUUUCACACUUGCUCUCACUGUGUGUGUGUAUAUUUGACCCACCUGUCAGUACAAAUCAAACUGAAUCUAAUAAAAUGUCUGAGCUGCUUGUUGCUAGUGUUGCUACAUUUAUGACCUGUACCUUCCUUCAGUACAAAGAUCAGACAGAAAUGUUUCACAUGUUCUUUUUUUAUAACACAAUAGGAGAAAACCUAACCUUGACAUGUGGUGUGGUAACACUACCAAAACAACCCAAUCACUUUUGUCAUCUUUUUUGGUGCCCCACAUUGAAACCAUGGCCCUCAUUUUGAAAGAUGAUCUGCAAUCACAGACAAGCAGAAAUUAUGUCUAGUGUGGAGAUAUAUUAUGUGUGUGCAUUAUUAUUAUUAUGUUCAUAACCAGUGUGGGAAAUAAAAUGUAUAACCUGUGUUAGUGGCCUGCAGAAAUGUAUUGCACAAACUUGGCCUUGAGUGUGGUGAAGCAGAAAAAUAGUGAAGAACUGUAAGGGUGGGAGAAGGAUGUGAAAAGAUUAACGGGCCAAGCACUCCCUUCUUAUAUCAGUAGAUACGAGUGGAGGUGCUGGGAGACAGGAACAUGUCCUAAUAUGGUAGGCAGGAAAAGUUUGUAAGUGACUAUAUGUGAGAAAAAAACUGUAAACAGGGCGCUGCCCAUUUUCAUGUGUUUUAAUAAAAGCCAUGUGCCCAGUGAGAAGCUCCGAAGUCGUCUCGGUGUGUGGUCAGAUCACAGAGAGCUUCCCUGAUCCAGGUAUUUUUAAUACAGCUGUCUCCAUGUGAUUUAUUCCAAAUGUGUGUAAUUCUACCAGGUUAUGGGGAAUAAACGAACACGCAGAAGGCCUCUUUAAAGAGAAUCUUCAACACUAGGUAUAGAAGUAAAGCGAGGUGUUAACACAAACCCAUAAUAUCAUAAAUAUCAGUUACAGUCUUUCACAAACCACAUAGAACCAAACUGCAACCAUGCGUAAAAGCAACUCUGAUCAUAAGGAACCAAGGAAAUGCUUUUGCCCUACAUGCGAAACAAUUGGUAGCAGAAAACUAAUACUGCAAUGUAUUCUAAACACACCAUCCCCACAGUGAAACAUGGUAC